GUUUCUUCACCAUGCAAGGACUUCUGUACAUGCCCUUGAUAGUCAGCCACUCCCCCUUCCCUCAACCCUAGUCUAGUUUCUAUUAGCGCAACCACUGAUUUGUUUACUUCUCUGUGGUUUUACCUUAUCCAGGAUGCCAUAGAAUUGGAGCCAUACAGUAUAUAGGCUUUUCAGACUAGCUUCUUUCACUUAGCAAUAUGCAUUUAAAGUUUUUUCAUGUUUUUUCAUAGCUUGGUAGUUUGUUCUUUUUAGCAUUGAACAAUAUCCCAUUGUAUGGAUGUACCACUUUGUUUAUCCAUUCACCUGCUGAAGGACAUCUUGGUUGCUUCCAGUCUGGAGUGAAUAUGAAUAAAACUGCUAUAAAUAAAACUUUUUUUUGAGAUAGGAUCUCACUCUGUUGCCUAGCCUGGAGUGCAGUAAUGCAAACACAGUUCACUGAAGCAUUGACCUCCUGAGCUCAAGCAAUCCUCCCACCUCAGCCUCCUGAGUAUCUGGGACCAUAGAUACGCACCACCAUACUUGACUAACUUUUAAAAUUUUUGUAGGGAUGGGGUCUUGCUAUGUUGCCCAGGGUGGUCUCGAGCUCCUGGGCUCAGGAGAAUCGCUUGAACCUGGGAGGUGGAAGUUGCAGUGAGCUGAGAUCACACCACUGCACUCCAGCCUGGGUGACAGAGCAAGACUCUGUCUCAAAAAAAAAAAAAAAAGAAAAAAAGAAUUCAUAAAAGUCAACAAUAAGAACUCAACCCCAAUUUUAAAAUGGGUAAAAAAUAUGAAGAGACUUCACCAAAG
rnacentral:lncRNA from 10 species